rnacentral:rRNA from 1 species
UACGUAGGUGGCAAGCGUUGUCCGGAUUUACUGGGCGUAAAGAGCGCGCAGGCGGUCAUUCAAGUCGAGUGUGAAAGCCCCCGGCUCAACUGGGGAGGGUCACUCGAUACUGUUUGACUCGAAGGCGGGAGAGGGAAGUGGAAUUCCCGGUGUAGUGGUGAAAUGCGUAGAUAUCGGGAGGAACACCAGUGGCGAAGGCGACUCACUGGUCCAUUACUGACGCUGAGGUGCGAAAGCGUGGGGAGCAAACAGG